UUGGCGCAGUGGUAGCGCGCUUCCCUGACACGGAAGAGGUCGCCAGUUCAAACCUGGCA
rnacentral:tRNA from 1 species